rnacentral:rRNA from 1 species
GUGGGGAAUAUUGCACAAUGGACGAAAGUCUGAUGCAGCAACGCCGCGUGGAGGAUGACACAUUUCGGUGCGUAAACUCCUUUUAUAUGGGAAGAUAAUGACGGUACCAUAUGAAUAAGCACCGGCUAACUCCGUGCCAGCAGCCGCGGUAAUACGGAGGGUGCAAGCGUUACUCGGAAUCACUGGGCGUAAAGAGCGUGUAGGCGGAUAGGUAAGUCAGAAGUGAAAUCCAAUAGCUCAACUAUUGAACUGCUUUUGAAACUGCUUAUCUAGAAUAUGGGAGAGGUAGAUGGAAUUUCUGGUGUAGGGGUAAAAUCCGUAGAGAUCAGAAGGAAUACCGAUUGCGAAGGCGAUCUACUGGAACAUUAUUGACGCUGAGACGCGAAAGCGUGGGGAGCAAACAGG